UACGUAGGGGGCAAGCGUUGUCCGGAUUUAUUGGGCGUAAAGCGCGUGUAGGCGGCCAUACAGGUCCGUUGUGAAAACUCGAGGCUCAACCUCGAGACGUCGAUGGAAACCGUAUGGCUAGAGUCCGGAAGAGGAGAGCGGAAUUCCUGGUGUAGCGGUGAAAUGCGCAGAUAUCAGGAAGAACACCCGUGGCGAAGGCGGCUCUCUGGGACGGUACUGACGCUGAGACGCGAAAGCGUGGGGAGCGAACAGG
rnacentral:rRNA from 1 species